rnacentral:tRNA from 1 species
GGUGGGGUGGCAGAGUGGUCGAAUGCGCCAGACUUGAAAUCUGGUAUGCCCUUUGGGGCAUCGUGAGUUCGAAUCUCACCCCCACCG